CGGCGGACGGGUGAGUAACGCGUGGGUAACCUGCCUCAUACAGGGGGAUAACAGUUAGAAAUGACUGCUAAUACCGCAUAAGACCACGGUACCGCAUGGUACAGUGGUAAAAACUCCGGUGGUAUGAGAUGGACCCGCGUCUGAUUAGGUAGUUGGUGGGGUAACGGCCUACCAAGCCGACGAUCAGUAGCCGACCUGAGAGGGUGACCGGCCACAUUGGGACUGGGACACGGCCCAG
rnacentral:rRNA from 1 species